AACGAACGCUGGCGGCGUGGAUAAGACAUGCAAGUCGAACGCUGAUUACGGGGUAGCAAUAUUCCGUAGUCGGAGUGGCACAAGGGUGCGUAACACGUGGGUAAUUUGCCGUGAAGUUGGGGAUAACCUGCUGAAAGGCGAGCUAAUACCGAAUGUGAUCGCUGAGGGACAUCCCUUGACGAUCAAAGUUGGGGACCGUAAGGCCUGACGCUUCACGAGGAGCCCCGCGACCUAUCAGCUAGUUGGUGAGGUAACGGCUCACCAAGGCUAAGACGGGUAGCUGGUCUGAGAGGACGACCAGCCACACUGGAACUGAGACACGGUCCAGACACCUACGGGUGGCAGCAGUCGAGAAUUUUUCACAAUGGGCGAAAGCCUGAUGGAGCGACGCCGCGUGGGGGAUGAAUGGC
rnacentral:rRNA from 1 species